CUUAUCCAGGAAUGGUUUCCAUGAAAACCAUACAGGUUUUCUAAAUGAUGGAGUUUGGGUAACUGCAUAGCUUACAUGAUUAUGUGAGGGAUUAAUCUCUAGGGUGCAGUUACAUUGAUAACUUUUCAAGUUUCUCAGGGCCUGACCAGGAAUGUGGCUUCUCUUAAUACAAAGUGGUGCUUGGAAUUUUAGCUCUGUGUGCAUUGAUAUUGGGCCCCAAAUGGGUUUCUGUGGGGAUGCAUUCCCAGAAAGGUUGCUCUGAUAGGACUGGAGAAGGUGCUCGUCCUGUCAUUGUAGCCCUUCUUAUUUUUUCAAGGGCCCAAGAUUGGGCUGGGAUUGGGAUGGCAGUGCAUUUGGAUGAUUAUGGAGAUAAAGAAAGCCGAGAGUCCUUUUUCAGAGCUGAGCCAGUGGUAUUGAAUAGUCUUUGUGUUGAAUUUAAAGUUCUUAAUAAAUACCCAGAAUCCAUUAACAGCCGGAGGGGUAAAGUGAAGCUCUGUUGUAAAAUAAGGCUGAUUCCCAGUAUGCAUGUUCUCAGUAUACACAGGCUGUGGGUGACCAUGAUAGAACAAAAAAAUACUUAUAUGUUAUUUUGUUCUAUAGAAUGGGAACUUCGGGGGGUGGAUAACUAUGCUGUCAGGAAUUCUUGUUACAAAAAUGAAUUAAAACUCUCUGCUUAAUUAUUA